GAGGGUAUAGCUCAUGGGUAGAGUGUAUGCUUAGUGUGCACAAGGUCCUGGGUUCAAUCCCCAGUACCUCCA
rfam:Camelus ferus unplaced genomic scaffold scaffold1262, whole genome shotgun sequence.